rnacentral:rRNA from 1 species
UUGUCUCAAAGAUUAAGCCAUGCAUGUCUCAGUACAUACCGAAUUAAGGUGAAACCGCGAAAGGCUCAUUAAAUCAGUUAUGGUUCCUUAGAUCGUACCCACAAUUACUUGGAUAACUGUGGUAAUUCUAGAGCUAAUACAUGCAAACAGAGCUCCGACCAGAGAUGGAAGGAGUGCUUUUAUUAGAUCAAAACCAAUCGGUGGCGGGUUCGCGCUCGUCAUCGUACGACUUGGUGACUCUGAAUAACUUUAAGCUGAUCGCACGGUCUAGCACCGGCGACGCAUCUUUCAAAUGUCUGCCUUAUCAACUGUCGAUGGUAGGUUCUGCGCCUACCAUGGUCGUAACGGGUAACGGGGAAUCAGGGUUCGAUUCCGGAGAGGGAGCCUGAGAAACGGCUACCACAUCCAAGGAAGGCAGCAGGCGCGCAAAUUACCCACUCCCGGCACGGGGAGGUAGUGACGAAAAAUAACGAUACGGGACUCAUCCGAGGCCCCGUAAUCGGAAUGAGUACACUCUAAACCCUUUAACGAGGAUCAAUUGGAGGGCCAGUCUGGUGCCAGCAGCCGCGGUAAUUCCAGCUCCAAUAGCGUAUAUUAAAGUUGUUGCGGUUAAAAAGCUCGUAGUCGAAUUUGUGUCUCGCGCCGCCGGUUCAUCGUUCGCGGUGUUAACUGGCGUGCUUUCGCGAGACGUCCUGCCGGUGGGCUCUUAGCGUCGGUCGCGCGCUGCGCGUCGGCGUUCUUCUAGGACGUCGUGUGCGUAUCGCGCGUCGCGUUCGCGGCGGCCCAACUCAAUCCUGCCGCGGUGCUCUUUACUGAGUGUCGAGGUGGGCCGGCACGUUUACUUUGAACAAAUUAGAGUGCUCAAAGCAGGCUAAAAUUUCGCCUGAAUACUGUAUGCAUGGAAUAAUGGAAUAGGACCUCGGUUCUAUUUUGUUGGUUUUCGGAACCCCGAGGUAAUGAUUAAUAGGAACGGAUGGGGGCAUUCGUAUUGCGACGUUAGAGGUGAAAUUCUUGGAUCGUCGCAAGACGAACGGAAGCGAAAGCAUUUGCCAAAAACGCUUUCAUUGAUCAAGAACGAAAGUUAGAGGUUCGAAGGCGAUCAGAUACCGCCCUAGUUCUAACCUUAAACGAUGCCAGCUAGCGAUCCGUCGACGUUCCUUAAUAUGACUCGACGGGCAGCUUCCGGGAAACCAAAGCUUUUGGGUUCCGGGGGAAGUAUGGUUGCAAAGCUGAAACUUAAAGGAAUUGACGGAAGGGCACCACCAGGAGUGGAGCCUGCGGCUUAAUUUGACUCAACACGGGAAACCUCACCAGGCCCGGACACCGGAAGGAUUGACAGAUUGAGAGCUCUUUCUUGAUUCGGUGGGUGGUGGUGCAUGGCCGUUCUUAGUUGGUGGAGCGAUUUGUCUGGUUAAUUCCGAUAACGAACGAGACUCUAGCCUGCUAACUAGGCGUCUUUUGACAUCCUAAAGGCCCGCCGUCCGCGUCACUUUCGGGUUACGCGGUUCGCGCGCGGUUUUUACUGUCGGCGUACAAACUAUUCUUCUUAGAGGGACAGGCGGCUUCUAGCCGCACGAGAUUGAGCAAUAACAGGUCUGUGAUGCCCUUAGAUGUUCUGGGCCGCACGCGCGCUACACUGAAGGAAUCAGCGUGUCUUCCCUGGCCGAGCGGCCCGGGUAACCCGCUGAACCUCCUUCGUGCUAGGGAUUGGGGCUUGCAAUUGUUCCCCAUGAACGAGGAAUUCCCAGUAAGCGCGAGUCAUAAGCUCGCGUUGAUUACGUCCCUGCCCUUUGUACACACCGCCCGUCGCUACUACCGAUUGAAUGAUUUAGUGAGGUCUUCGGAUCGACACGCGAUGGCGUUUCGGCGUCGUCGAUGUGUAUGAAAGAUGACCAAACUUGAUCAUUU